UACAUAAUUAUAAAUAACAUUGAUGAUAAUAAUAGCUUCUACAAAAAAUUCAACAUAUCGAAUUUUUUCCAGUGUCGAAUAAUAACAUAAAAAGUGAUUUUCCAAGUACACAAAAAUAAAUUAUCAAUAAAGCCUAAACGAACCGAAGCCAUCCGCAUAUUUCAUUAUCAUGAUUAUUAUCGAUAUUGAAAGUGACAAACCUGUUCUGUAUAAACUAGGUAAUGUUGCGAAAUAAUAUUCAAACAUUAAAUUUAGUUUCGUUGCAAAGAGAAGUUUUGAUCAAAGUUGGCAAAGCAUGUCGGUGAUUUGUUGUGAUUCACAAAGUGUUUGUUUACUGUGGUCGAGUAUUUAUUUGAGAGGAAAGGUUUGAAACGAAUGCGGAUAUCAUAACGUAAACAAGAAACUAGAUAUUUUGAUUAGAUAUAGUUUAUGUAAAUAGAUGUGGUUUUUUUUUUUAUUUCCAUCCCAUAAAAAUCACAAUAUCAAAAUAUACAUCGUUUCAUACUGUUUCAAAACUAUUUCUUAAUCAUCCAUACUAAGAGGUUUAUGAACACAAUGUACAUGAUAUAUUGCAAUAAACAGAUGUGAAUGCUGCUUGUUUGAUUGAUAUGGUCCUGCUCAACUUGAAAAUUUGUACUUAAUGUAUUUGAUUUCAUCUCAAAGAUGAGGUUCAUAACCACGGCUCUAGUCUUCGCAGUUUCAGGAUUUUUCAAAAUCUGCACUUAUGGAGCUGAAAUGUUCGUCGCUGAUCCAGGGAUGGGGAGUCGGGCGAUAUACGUGGGGGUUUCCGAUGAAAACGGGUCUUUUGCUG